rnacentral:misc_RNA from 1 species
GUGAAUCAUCGAAUUUUUGAACGCAAAUUGCACUCUCCUCGGAGAGUAUGCCUGUUUGAGGGUCAGCCUAUAAAAAAUCGACAUCGUUGCUGUUUCGCGGUGACGUUCGUCGGAAAUUGGGUCAUCUUAAAUCCUUUUGGUUUUAAGCGACUUAAAAUUUUCUUUUUGGUUCCAUGAACGUUUCUAAGAUUUAUUUCUUUACACGUUUAAGGGUAUCGAUUUUUUUUAACCGUGACAUUAAUAUCGGAUCCCGCCCU